AUCGCUUCUUGGCCUUUUGGCUAAGAUCAAGUGUAUUAAAAUAUUUAAAUGGGUAAACUGUGUGGUAUCCAAAUUAUAUAUUUCUGUAAAACUAACACAUUAUACCUUGGUACUUGACUCAUUUUAACUAAAAAAUUUGGUCCCACUACUCAUUUGGUACUAUAC
ensembl:snRNA U2 U2 spliceosomal RNA